GGGGGCCAUGGGACUGUGUGCAGUGGGGAGGAGAGGUAUAGGAAGCCAGUGAUGCCUGGGGAAUAACUGUAUAAGGAGAUUCAUGGGAGGGUUUAGAUUGUGUGUGUGAGUCAGAGGUACUGUAUUUUAGUGAGCCCAGGGUUAGAGUUGGGAUUAUGGACAGGCCUAUGGGGGAUUGGAUGGCAGUGCAGUUGCUCACAGCUGGCCUUAAGCCCAAGAUGUGGUCAGUUGCUCCAUGCAGAUCUGGAAACUCAUAAGCUGGCUCGAUCUCUCUCUCUAGUCUUCCCUGGACUACUGGACUGGUGGAGAGGUAGCUGUGGCAGCAGGAGACUGCACAUGUCAUGAGGAAGAAGAGCUUGUGAAGGGAGGAAAAAUUGUGACUUGGAGGCCUAGAAAAGGUUGUUUGGCAAGGAACCUUUCUGAUGACGAAUCUCACCAGAAUAAAUUUUCUGAUUUCCCUUGCUACGAAAGUGACACCAGUCAUGUGGAUUCGGAUUCCUCUGGGCCUCCUAUUAAAUGUCUUGGUGACUUUGAUGACUUCCAGAGUGACCUUGAGAGCUGGGAGUUAAAUGACGAAGCCUGCGCUGCAUCUUUCCAUGAGCUGAAAAUUAAUCCUCAAUACGAGGAAGAGGAUUGGGAUAAAGAAUUGGAGGCUGCUGAAUGUAAUCCAUACGAUGCGGAAGAUAUCGACUGUGAUAGUCUUCAGGGAAGUGAUCUAUUGCCAUCCUGUGCGUGGGAAGAAGAAUUCUUGUAUGACCCCAGGUGUCACCAUGCAGCUCCACUCACUCUGAGUUUGCCAAAUAGAUUGCCUGAGGUUGGCCAGUUUGAUGAUGCAGAUGUUUGAUGAUGCAGAGGUUUGCCUCUAUUCAGGGCUGUACUUGGCAAACUGGAUUGUGCUCCAUUGCAGAGAUGCACUGCAAGAUGGUGCACCUUCACCUACCCCAUUGGUUUCAAAACAGGGGCAGUAAUUCUCUACCUUCCCUGGAAACUUUCCUCGAGACUGUCCUUGAGCUACAAAUAAACUGAUCAUGACGACUGGUAGGAAGAAGAGAGGAUCUCGGACUGGACGCUAAUCCUAGGCAUCAGUGCUGUUUUGUAGCGUGUUUCAUUUUCAUGGUUUUUUUUAAAGGGAAAAAAAAAAGCUGUUGGAGACGUAUGAUUUUUAAACGAUGGCUCAGUAACUGGGAUUAGCCAGGUCUAACCUAGAUCUCAUCAUAUAACUUUAAUUUUUCUUCUUUUAUUUGGCAUUAAUUGUCAAGUUGGGAUUAAAUCUUCUUUUUCUUGUUAUAGAUUCUACGUCAUAAGUAGCAUGACCACAUUGUGUUUGAAGUGUAAGCCUCUGACAGGCAGAGAGUAUGCAACAAUAUUUAGUCAUGAGAAAUACAGAAGGCUUUGUUCUUUA